rnacentral:lncRNA from 1 species
UUUGAAUAUCAAUACAAUAAAAAGAUGAUAUAAAUAUAAAACAAAAUUGAAAUCGAGAAAAGAAGAAGAAGAAAGUGGGACAAUAUUGAAAAUGUGUGGGAAAAUAAAAUGAAAAGAAAGGAAGGAAGAAAGUAGAAAGAGAGGCAUGACAGGAAAUAGGAAAAACAGAAGAGACAAAGGCACUUUAAAGAAAGGUUAAAGCUUAUGUGGAAUUCGAUUUAGGUUGCGCGCCUUCAGCCACUACUUGCCUGUCUCUCUCACCCUACAAAUUACAACGCUUGGCCCCCUUCUUUAAUCAUGUUCUUUUACACAAAACACCAUCUACACUACUUUAUCAACCUAAUACAACAUAAAGUAAUAAAAAUGAUUCAAAUACAAGCUAACGUGAAAGAAUUCUCGUCAAUUUAAAUGAGAUGUACUAAUCCAACCAACAAUCACUCAAACAUCAUUCCAUUUAUUCAAAAGCCACUUAUCUCGUUUUUGUUAUUAUUAUUACUAUUUGUCUCUUUUUCCUUUUCUUCUUUUACUCACUAUGCACUUUAGGACUUGUAACUUUUAUAUCUUACUUUAAAUUUAAGGUUUGGGACCUUCUGUUGAGUAUAGCUAUCAUUCUAUACAUGAAAAAAAAAAUGGGAUCAAACAUGACUUUAAUAAGACUCGUCUAUACUAUAUAUUAUAUACCGGGGAGCAGAUUAGAUUCAAAAGGGAGAACCUUGAAAAUCUUUGGUAAUUGAGCUUGGAAAGUUGAUGAAAAAAAGGUUUAAUCAUGGUGUCCCAGGAUCAGGUUGAGGGGCCCAACUAGCUACUAGUCCUGUGGUUAAUGUGAGUGAAUGGUUUUAGGGUUAGCCCCAUUAGGAAGACCUCCUCUGGCAAUAGGCAGGCAUUGGUGAGUUGGACCUCUUUUUCCCUCGCCUUCCUUUUCAGACUUUUCGGCAGUAAAAGUAUGUCACAUGCUUAUUGCUCUUUUCCUCUUUUCCAUGCGUCUCUAUGCAUACUUGUACUCCUCUUUAUCAUAUAAAUUCAGUAUUUUAUAUACGUGAAACUAAUAUUUGCUAAAAUUACGAGUAUAUCCUUUCCAUUUUACGUACAUUAAUUCAAACCAUACGUUUAAACUGAAAGAGCAAUAAAGCAUUGGGUCUAACAUUCACUAGGAUAUUAUGUUUUAUAGUCGUACCUUCAAAGACUGUCUGUCAACAUGGGUCUCAAAUGAAGGAGCCAUUGGAUUUGGAUGCCUCCUUUGGGCUCGCCGCUGUUUGUUCAUGCAUGGGACUGUCACAUUAGGGUUAUGACAUCAGUUAAAGUAAGACUAAUAGGAAAAAAAGAAAAAGAGUAAAGCAAAGAUGGCUACAUUAUUGCAGACUUUGGCUUAACUAUAAGCUCAAUCAUGCAACUAUCUCUCAACAUUAAUUUUUAACAUCAACUGGUCCCCUAAAAGCAAAAUGAUUUUGAAAUUAUAUAUAAAAAAGGUUGUGGGAAAGGAGAAAGAAAAAGGUUGAUAGGCUUUCUUAGCAUUAACUUCAGAUCCAUUUACAAAAGCAACAAAAGAGAUAAAGGAAAAAAUAAAACAGCUGUCGGGUACUAAUAUUUACAAUUUCCUUACACUCAAGCAGAGCAGAGUCCACUACCAAAUUCACUAACAUAAUUACUGUCACAUGUGUACUGAAUAUGGAUAUAAAACUAACAUAUAUAUAUAUACACACACACGCAUAAUAAUUUUUUUUGCAUUUAAUUUUAUAAAAAAAAUUAAUUUAGUCUUUUAUUUAAUUUUUAUUUUUUUUAUUAUUUAAUAUAUAUUCUUUAAUCAAAUCACCCUAAAAUAAAUAAAAAAAUUAAUAAACAUUAACCUUAAUGUGGCAUAUGCGUGGAUUACCAUAUAAAUGACACAUCAUCAUUUAAUCUAUUUUUAAAAAUUAAAAAUGAUUUUUAAUUUAAAAAUAGUAUAUAUAUAUUUAAAUUUUAAAUUUUAAAAAAUUAAUUAAAUACCGAUAUGUUAUCCACAUAGCAAUCUAUAUGAAUACAACAUCAACAUAAACAAAAUUAAAAAGUGUUAACUUUUUCAUUUAUUUUUAAAAUAUAUAUUUUUUUUAAGUUGAAAGGCCUAAAAUAUUACAAAUAGUUAUAUAAAUCACGCUAUAAAACUAUUAAACACAGUAAUAGUAAUAUGUUGGUCAACGCAUAGUAUGAUAGUUGUAUCUAUGUUCACUCUUGAAAUUAAAUGCUAGCAUUUAGAGAUAUUUUUUUUUAAAAAAAUAAGACUUCCUUUAUUCAAUAAUUAAUUACCCAAAAUACAAUCAAAUAAGUCAUAAAAAAUAAAACAUCAAGAGAAAUGAAGAAUUUUGCGAACUUACUAGCCUCCAUGUUGUCGUUUCUACUUGUCUAUAUUAUCUUAAUAUCAUGUCGAUUCCAUAAUAAAUCUUUGCUCUUUGAGAUGAAUAUUUCAAACUCGGUCCAGUCAAGCUCUUCUAAUUUCAUGGCUAAAUUUGAUAAAAAUGCCAAAUUAAAAAAAAUAUAGAGAGAAAUGGAUCGAUUUUUUGUGACAUUUAAAGAAACAGGUCGAUUUUAGAGAUAGACAAAAAAGUGUCUUGCUAGAUGCAGUCUGUCCCAUCUCAAAAAAAAAAAAAAUGGGGGUUAGAAGAAUUGGAUUUGUGGUUGAUUGACUUAUUGAAUUUAAACUUGAAUAAGCAUAAUUGUUAGGUUUUGGUUACAUGAUGGAUGAUAUGCAUGUGCUUAAUGAAUUAUUAUUAUUGUAGGACUCAAAAUUUGUCCGGCCCAAACUACUAGAGACCAAAACCAACCCAAAUCCUGAAACCCAAACUACAAGGCCCAAAUGGCCCAAAGCGUAAACAAAUUUUAGCAAAAAAACCCCUAGGAGCCACCGUUUGCAGCCGAAGCAGUCCUCAGGCACCCCCACGUCGCGCACCCCUCCGCGUCGUGCGCCACUCCACCACGCCACAUCAGAGACGUGCUCGAUCACGUACCUGGAAAUGUGAAAAAACAUGUAAAAUACUUGGCUAUAAAAGGCCAAUAUACAGAUUUUGUAAAUGACCUUUUUUUUUUUUGUUUUUGAAGAAUAUAAGGAGAGAAAUCAAAGUAAAACAUAUUUUAAAAAGAAAUCAAGGUGAUUUUACUGUGGUUUUACUUUUUGUGUCAUUUUGUUUUAUUUUUCUACCCCUUUUUUCCUUUUUUUUAGAUUUUUUUAUAUUUAUACGAAACUAAAGUAUUAAAAAAGAGGGAGUUUACCUGACUUCCGGUGGUCACGUGGUCGUCAGAGUUUCCUUCGUCAUGGAGAUCGAGCACAGGAGGGAGUUGGGAUUGCCUCUGUUCUCCGUUUGGGCGUGCGGCGUAUGUGGCUGAUAAGGGGAGAGAUUUUGGAAAUUAGGUUUUCUUAAAAUAAAAUUGAAAUGAUUUCAAGCAGAUUUUUUUUGGGCUUAAAAGACAAAACAAAACAGCACCGUUUGGUGCUGUACCCAUGCAUUUGGCUCAAAAUGGGGCAUUUGCACAAUCGAUCCUCCCCCUUCGUGCUAGUGUUCGAUCGAGCCGUGUUUCAGUAUUUCUUAAAUUUACUAAAUUUUCCCCGAAACUCCUACACUGUUUUAAUUUAGCCCAUGCUUGCGUACUGCAUUUUUGGGAUUUGGAUCAUUUGCGCUUUUUGUCCUCCCUUUGUUAUGUGUGCAUUCAAUUUGGU